AUACGGAGGGUGCAAGCGUUAUUCGGAAUCACUGGGCGUAAAGGACGCGUAGGCGGGUUGGCAAGUCAGAUGUGAAAUCCUACAGCUUAACUGUAGAACUGCAUUUGAAACUGCUAACCUAGAGUAUGGGAGGGGGAGAUGGAAUUAGUGGUGUAGGGGUAAAAUCCGUAGAUAUCACUAGGAAUACCGAGAGCGAAGGCGAUCUCCUGGAACAUAACUGACGCUAAGGCGUGAAAGCGUGGGGAGCAAACAGGAUUAGAAACCCCAGUAGUCC
rnacentral:rRNA from 1 species